UUCCCCGCUAGCCAUGUAAAAUAUAACAUAUUAGGUCCCCGUAAAUCAUGUUAAAUAUAACCUAUUAGGUCCCCGUAAAACCAUGUUAAAUACACUACAUGACCAAAAGGAAAGGGCCUUCCCCAAACUAGAAAGUUGGAAGCACAUAAUCGUUGUCAUUGUAUGCUGUAGCGUUAAGAUUUACCUUUACUGGAACUAAGGGGCCGACCCAUGAAAAACAGCCCCAGACCAUUACUCCUCCUCCAACAAACUUUACAUUUGGCACUAUGCAUUCGGGCAGGUAGCGUUCUCCUGGCAUCCGCCAAACCCAUAUUCGUCUGUCGGACUGCAAGAUGGUUAAGCGUGAUUCAUCACUCCAGAGAACGCGUUUCAACUGCUCCAGAGUCCAAUGGCGGCGAGCUUUACACCAGUCCAGCCAACGCUUGGCAUUGCGCAUGGUGAUCUUAGACUUGUGUGCGGCUGCUUGGCCAUGGAAACCCAUUUCAUGCAGCUCUAGACUAACAUUUAUUGUACUGACGUUGCUUCCAGAGGCAGUUUGGAUUGGAACUCGGUAGGAAGUGUUACAAACAAGGAUAUGUUUUUUUAAACGCGCUACGCACUUAAUCACUCACCGGUCCCGUUCGGUGAGCUUGUGUGGCCUUCCACUUUGCGGCUGAGCCGUUGUUGCUCCUAAACGUUUCCACUUUACAAUAACAGCACUUACAGUUGACCUGGGCAGAAAUUUGACGAACUGACUUGUUGGAAAGGUGUCAUUCUAAGAUAAUGCCAAGUUGAAAGUCACUGAGCUUUUCAGUAAGGCCAUUGUACUGCCAAUGUUUGUAUAUGGAGAUUGCAUGGCUGUGUGCUCGAUUUUAUACACCUGUCUGCAACGGGUGUGGCUGAAAUAGUGGAAUCCACUAUUUUGAAGGGGUGUCCACAUACUUUUGUGUAUAUAUAGUGUUUAACAUAUUAGGUCAUGUUUUUAUUUUUAUUUUUUAUUUCACCUUUAUUUAACCAGGUAGGAAAGUUGAGAACAAGUUCUCAUUUACAACUGUGACCUGGCCAAGAUAAAGCAUAGCAGUGUGAACUGACAACAACAGAGUUACACAUGGAGUAAACAAUAAACAAGUCAAUAACACAGUAGCAAAAAAUAGUCUUUAUACAUUGUGUGCAAAAGGAGGAGGUAGGCGAAUAAUUACAAUUUAGCAGAUUAACACUGGAGUGAUAAAUUAUCAGAUGGUCAUGUGCAGGUAGAGAUACUGGUGCGAAAGAGCAGAAAAGUAAAUCAAUAAAAACAGUAUGGGGAUGAGGUAGGUAAAUUGGGUGGGCUAUUUACCGAUGGACUAUGUACAGCUGCAGCGAUUGGUUAGCUGCUCAGAUAGCAGAUGUUUAAAGUUGGUGAGGGAGAUAAAAGUCUCCAACUUCAGCGAUUUUUGCAAUUCGUUCCAGUCACAGGCAGCAGAGAACUGGAAGGAAAGGCGGCCAAAUGAGGUGUUGGCUUUAGGGAUGAUCAGUGAGAUACACCUGCUGAAGCGCGUGCUACGAGUGGGUGUUGCAAUCGUGACCAGUGAACUGAGAUAAGGCGGAACUUUACCUAGCAUGGACUUGUAGAUGACCUGGAGCCAGUGGGUCUGGCGACGAAUAUGUAGCGAGGACCAGCCGACUAGAGCAUACAGGUCGCAGUGGUGGGUGGUAUAAGGUGCUUUAGUAACAAAACGGAUGGCACUGUGAUAAACUGCAUCCAGUUUGCUGAGUAGAGUAUUGGAAGCUAUUUUGUAGAUGACAUCGCCAAAGUCUAGGAUCGGUAGGAUAGUCAGUUUUACUAGGGUAAGUUUGGCGGCGUGAGUGAAGGAGGCUUUGUUGCGGAAUAGAAUGCCGACUCUAGAUUUGAUUUUAGAUUGGAGAUGUUUGAUAUGAGUCUGGAAGGAGAGUUUACAGUCUAGCCAGACACCUAGGUACUUAUAGAUAUCCACAUAUUCUAGGUUGGAACCAUCCAGGGUAGUGAUGCUAGGCGGGCGUGCGGGUGCAGGCAGUGAACGGUUGAAAAGCAUGCAUUUGGUUUUACUAUCGUUUAAGAGCAGUUGGAGGCCACCGAAGGAGUGUUGUAUGGCAUUGAAGCUUGUUUGGAGGUUAGAUAGCACAGUGUCCAAGGACGGGCCAGUAGUAUACAGAAUGGUGUCGUCUGCAUGUAAACCAUGUUAAAGAGGUAGUCCACCCAACACAUAUUAUUAUUAUUAUUAUUACAUUUAAGUCAUUUAGCAGACGCUCUUAUCCAGAGCGACUUACACACUUGCAUGAUCUUCCACCUACUUUGGCUGUUGUCAGUUGACCAAGACUGUCCCUGCUCUUUGCCUCCACACACCUGCAGUGUUUGGUAAUCAGAAGCGUUUGGAUAGCAGUACUAGACCUCCAAUAGUUGAAGUAGAACUUCUGCCACAUUGCUAACGAAGCGGUAAGGUAUAGGGGCCAGGGACUGAAAUGGAACCAGGCCUAGGGCUGUUACAGUGACCAUUUUACCGACAGUCACGAGGCAUGACCGCAGUCAAAUUCCACGUGACCGUUUAGUCACGUUAACUAGGCUUCUCCAAGCUCUAAUGCUGCUGAUGGUCAUUAGUAGUCUACCAAACUUGCUAACUGCCUGGUACUCAGCACUCUAUUGUCCCUCUAAUCACUCUGACGUCAAUGUAAUCAAAAAUCUAAUCAAACACUUUGAGAGCCCAUGAGCUCAUAUUGAGCAACGUUUCUAUAGGCUAUGGAAAUGCGUGCGAAACGAGUUUUGAUGGCCUUAAUUAAAAUUAGGAGGAUCCCAUCAGGUCUCUAUAGGCUCGGCCUACUAUAUUUAUUUCUCAGCUUUCCUAAUAUUAAGCAUAUUGCUUUGCUUUACAACAGGAGUAUAGCCUACCUGGCUGGCAUGAAAAUGAACCUCAGGAAAAGCAUCCUCCAUUCACUAUUUAAGUGUAUAGAUGACAUGUUAUUUAUUUGUUGCCCCUGUUCUGAGACAGGUGCAUGAUAAUGGUCAAUUCUAAAUCAAAACCAAUUCCACACAUAUUAUUUAGUAUUUGUAAAGACAAUAUUUAAUCAACAAUAGUCUGUUGAGUGACAAUAUUUGCCUAUCACUUGUGAAUGAUGCCCAGCUUGUGUGCAGUAAGGCAGAAAAUGGGGCAUGCCUUUUUUUGCGACUUUUUCAAAUCAUAGUCCCACACUUCAUAUAGCCUAGCCCAUCGGCCUGUAUGUUUUAAUAAGGUUUGUAUCACAACUCAUACAGCCUAGCCCAUCGGCCUGUAUGUUUUAAUAAGGUUUGUAUCACAACUCAUACAGCCUAGCCCAUCGGCCUGUAUGUUUUAAUAAGGUUUGUAUCACAACUCAUACAGCCUAGCCCAUCGGCCUGUAUGUUUUAAUAAGGUUUGUAUCACAACUCAUACAGCCUAGCCCAUCGGCCUGUAUGUUUUAAUAAGGUUUGUAUCACAACUCAUACAGCCUAGCCCAUCGGCCUGUAUGUUUUAAUAAGGUUUGUAUCACAACUCAUACAGCCUAGCCCAUCGGCCUGUAUGUUUUAAUAAGGUUUGUAUCACAACUCAUACAGCCUAGCCCAUCGGCCUGUAUGUUUUAAUAAGGUUUGUAUCACAACUCAUACAGCCUAGCCCAUCGGCCUGUAUGUUUUAAUAAGGUUUGUAUCACAACUCAUACAGCCUAGCCCAUCGGCCUGUAUGUUUUAAUAAGGUUUGUAUCACAACUCAUACAGCCUAGCCCAUCGGCCUGUAUGUUUUAAUAAGGUUUGUAUCACAACUCAUACAGCCUAGCCCAUCGGCCUGUAUGUUUUAAUAAGGUUUGUAUCACAACUCAUACAGCCUAGCCCAUCGGCCUGUAUGUUUUAAUAAGGUUUGUAUCACAACUCAUACAGCCUAGCCCAUCGGCCUGUAUGUUUUAAUAAGGUUUGUAUCACAACUCAUACAGCCUAGCCCAUCGGCCUGUAUGUUUUAAUAAGGUUUGUAUCACAACUCAUACAGCCUAGCCCAUCGGCCUGUAUGUUUUAAUAAGGUUUGUAUCACAACUCAUACAGCCUAGCCCAUCGGCCUGUAUGUUUUAAUAAGGUUUGUAUCACAACUCAUACAGCCUAGCCCAUCGGCCUGUAUGUUUUAAUAAGGUUUGUAUCACAACUCAUACAGCCUAGCCCAUCGGCCUGUAUGUUUUAAUAAGGUUUGUAUCACAACUCAUACAGCCUAGCCCAUCGGCCUGUAUGUUUUAAUAAGGUUUGUAUCACAACUCAUACAGCCUAGCCCAUCGGCCUGUAUGUUUUAAUAAGGUUUGUAUCACAACUCAUACAGCCUAGCCCAUCGGCCUGUAUGUUUUAAUAAGGUUUGUAUCACAACUCAUACAGCCUAGCCCAUCGGCCUGUAUGUUUUAAUAAGGUUUGUAUCACAACUCAUACAGCCUAGCCCAUCGGCCUGUAUGUUUUAAUAAGGUUUGUAUCACAACUCAUACAGCCUAGCCCAUCGGCCUGUAUGUUUUAAUAAGGUUUGUAUCACAACUCAUACAGCCUAGCCCAUCGGCCUGUAUGUUUUAAUAAGGUUUGUAUCACAACUCAUACAGCCUAGCCCAUCGGCCUGUAUGUUUUAAUAAGGUUUGUAUCACAACUCAUACAGCCUAGCCCAUCGGCCUGUAUGUUUUAAUAAGGUUUGUAUCACAACUCAUACAGCCUAGCCCAUCGGCCUGUAUGUUUUAAUAAGGUUUGUAUCACAACUCAUACAGCCUAGCCCAUCGGCCUGUAUGUUUUAAUAAGGUUUGUAUCACAACUCAUACAGCCUAGCCCAUCGGCCUGUAUGUUUUAAUAAGGUUUGUAUCACAACUCAUACAGCCUAGCCCAUCGGCCUGUAUGUUUUAAUAAGGUUUGUAUCACAACUCAUACAGCCUAGCCCAUCGGCCUGUAUGUUUUAAUAAGGUUUGUAUCACAACUCAUACAGCCUAGCCCAUCGGCCUGUAUGUUUUAAUAAGGUUUGUAUCACAACUGUAUCACAAUUUGAUUUGGAUUUGAUUUGACAGCUAAAGUGGCCAAAUAACUACUUAAAAUGAAGCACAUUAAUCCACUGAUGACUAGAAUAGGUCAACUUUUGUACUAUGGGGGUUAGUAGAUUGACAUAGGCUAGUGGUUUUGUUGUUCGUUAGGCCGACUCAUCUUGUUGGCUGACGAAAGGGAAAUGUGGACAGUUCUUCUAACAUCUCAGAAUUUGAUAAGAAGGAAGCGUGCACUUCCAUCCCUGAUGUAUGUCUUCACUUGCCUACUUCGGAGCUGAGAUAGAUGCCUGUGAGAAGAACCCGAUCGAUCAUGUGACGGGUAUUGGCUAAUUAGAAUUGCGAUAUCUGAGAGAGCCAUGAGUGAGAGGUGCUUCGGAACACUCAGCCGGGAGAAGGGAAUAAAAAUUAUUAUAUUCAGCCCAAGGGCACAACAGCCACUAGUCGCAAAAAGCAUGGAUUUCUUUAGGGGUCAUUACGGCCACACUAGGGAGAUGCCGCUAGGAAAUUCGAGGCAUUGUCAAGUGCUUUUCAAAUUGUGAAUGAGAGACGGAUGAAGUGUGCACAGCCUGUGCAGGAAACAAAGCAGAGCUCAUGCCUUUCAUGAAACUUUUUUCAAAUCAUCAUGAGUCGCAUCAUGCAGCCAACAAAAGUUGCAUAAAUAACUCUGAAAUUAAGCAUAUAGGGGGACCUGUUUCUUAACUGCUCAACACAGAAUAGCUUCAUGUGGCACCCCCUCAGAAAUCUUUUGGAGAAAACAUAAUUUCUAUCUUAUUCAGCAAUAUUAAAAUGUAUUAUUCAUACUAUAAAAUAAUGCCACAAUUCUAAUCAAAUCUUGUCUGCUAAAUGAACUAGUGUAGCCCACAGCCAUAGGGCUGACGUCUAAGGCACUGCAUCUCAGUGCUAGAGGCAUCACUAUAGACACCCUGGUUCAAACCCAGGCUGCAUCACAACCGGCCAUGAUUGCGAGUAUAGGGUGGCGCACAAUUGGCCCAGCGUCUUCUGGGUUUGGCCGGUUUAGGCCGUCAUUGUAAAUAUGAAUUUGUUCUUAACUGACUUGCCUAGUUAAAUUUAAAAAAAUGGCAUAGCCAGAUCAGGGCCUAACAUAAGGACAACUCAGAGUAUGCUAUUCUGUUCUUCUGAAGUAGAUUACAUUUUCUUCAUAUCAUGUUUCUUUAGACCCAUCUAAAAUAUGUAAUGGAUUUAUUGUGAUGGUGUAGGUUAUAUUACAUGGAUUUAAGUAAGUAAGUAAUAUGCCAUUUAGCAGACGCUUUUAUCCAAAGCGACUUACAGUCAUGUGUGCAUACAUUCUACGUAUGGGUGGUCCCGGGAAUCGAACCCACUACCCUGGCGUUACAAGCGCCAUGCUCUACCAACUGAGCUACAGAAGGAUUUAUUAGACUUUUUAAAAUGUAGAUGUUCCAAAGGUCUGCAUCAAUGGCUGGUACACUAUGCGUGGAAGCUAGGAGUUGCUAAAUGUGUUUGUUAUUUAACUGUCAGUUACCGUGAGACCGACAGUUGACAAUCACCGUUUGACAGAAUUUCAUGACCGCCACAGCCCUAUCCAGGCCUGUUUGCACACAGGACCAGCUGUACAGUCAGUAUAGGUUUCCCUCUCAUUCUACCUGGCUGGUUGUGAUGGAAGACUGUUCAGUGGGUCGAGCAUGGUACGCAGAUUAAAUGUGUCCCCCUGUGUG